GACGAACGCUGGCGGCGUGCUUAACACAUGCAAGUCGAACGAUGAAGCCUUAGCUUGCUUUGGUGGAUUAGUGGCGAACGGGUGAGUAACACGUGAGCAACGUGCCCAGGACUCUGGAAUAACCGCGGGAAACCGUGGCUAAUACCGGAUAGGUGCCGAGGCCGCAUGGUCUUCGGUUGGAAAGUUUUUGCGGUUCUGGAUCGGCUCACGGCCUAUCAGCUUGUUGGUGGGGUAAUGGCCUACCAAGGCGACGACGGGUAGCCGGCCUGAGAGGGUGACCGGCCACGCUGGGACUGAGACACGGCCCAAACUCCUACGGGAGGCAGCAGUGGGGAAUGUUGCACAAUGGGCGCAAGCCUGAUGCAGCAACGCCGCGUGGGGGAUGACGGCCUUCGGGUUGUAAACCUCUUUUAGUAGGGAAGAAGCGCAAGUGACGGUACCUGCAGAAAAAGCACCGGCUAACUACGUG
rnacentral:rRNA from 1 species